rnacentral:lncRNA from 1 species
UAGUAGGAACAGGGAGAUUCGUGGUCCGCAUUCCCUUUCCUUGGGAAAAGGAGAGUACCCAGUUGGUCCCAUCAACCUGACCCCACCUGGGCUGCUGGAGACAGUUGUGGGCACCGGGAAAGAUUGAAGCACCUUCAUAGAGUGCCCUAGGGGCAAUCUUGGGGAUGGGAAAACAAAGGAAAUGUUGGGAGUCCUGGACUGAGAGGUGCCUGCAAAAGCUAGAAAGGCGAGUUUACUCUAGAGUUAUAUUUGUUUUAUACUUCCUUUGAGGACUACUUUAAGAUGCAGCUUGGCCAGGGGUUUUAGCUCAGCGGUAGAAUGCUUGUCUAAUAUUCGUGAGGCCAUCGGUUUGAUCUCCCCCACCACAAAAUAAAACCAGGACAUUGCCAGAAGAUUUGUGUCAAAGUGAGACUGACCCUUUUGGACCCUGAC